GACGAACGCUGGCGGCGUGCUUAACACAUGCAAGUCGAACGGAAAGGCCCUGCUUUUGUGGGGUGCUCGAGUGGCGAACGGGUGAGUAACACGUGAGUAACCUGCCCUUGACUUUGGGAUAACUUCAGGAAACUGGGGCUAAUACCGGAUAGGAGCUCCUGCUGCAUGGUGGGGGUUGGAAAGUUUCGGCGGUUGGGGAUGGACUCGCGGCUUAUCAGCUUGUUGGUGGGGUAGUGGCUUACCAAGGCUUUGACGGGUAGCCGGCCUGAGAGGGUGACCGGCCACAUGGGGGCAGAUGGCGCGCCGGGGCCCCUCCGGGAGGAAGCAGGGGGGAUGCUUGCCCAGGGGGUGGGGGUCGUAUGCCGCAACGGCCGGUGGGGAAGGGCGGCCGUCGGUUUGGAAACCGGGUGCGCCGGGGACGAAGGGGGGGGGCGGGUAGUGGGGAAAGAAGCACCGGUUAACUACG
rnacentral:rRNA from 1 species